UGUUCUUCCUACAACACCGUCCCACACGCAUUCUCUCUCUCUGUAAAUAUUUGCUCAAAAUCUCUCAUUUACUCUUCGAACCUUCGUCUAUGGCGGCCAACAGAUUCGCGACUUUGAUCCACCGCAAAACCAACCGGAUCACUCUCGUCCUCGUCUACGCUUUCCUCGAAUGGACUCUCAUCUCUUUCAUCCUCCUCAACUCUCUAUUCUCUUAUUUCAUCCUCAGAUUCGCUGAUUACUUCGGCCUCAAGCGACCUUGCCUCCUCUGCUGUAGACUCGAUCGGUUCUUCGACCCCUCAGGGAAAUCUCCUUCCCACAAAGAUCUCCUCUGCGACGAUCACGUUCACGCCCUCGAGAUUUCUACAGUUCCCUCGAAACCUCUUCUUGAAUCCAAAGGUUCCGUACAAGGUCGUGUUGAAUUCCCAAAGGAGUUGGUCUCUUGUGCUCCGAUCGAGCCUGAUCUGAGGGAUGAUAAAGGUUAUAGCUUUAUUGACACGAAUCUGAUCGGAGAUGAUGUUCAGGUUCACAAUGGUCGGCUUUUCACCGAACGGUCCCGAUCUAUCUUCGUCCUGGAAGAACACGUAGGAUCCGCGCCUCUGAUUGAUUCUCAGGAACGAAGCUUCACAAAGGAUGAACAAGAAACAGAGGAGAACGAAGAUGUUGAUGUAGAAGAAGAAGAAACAGAGGAGAAGGUUGUUGAUGAAGAAGAAACAGAGGAGAAGGUUGAUGAUGAUGAUGAAGAUGAAGAAGAAACAGAGGAGAAGGAUGUUGAUGAUGAAGAAGAAACAGAGGAGAAGGUUAUUGAUGAUGAUGAAGAGUUCUCUUGCUUUGUAUCGAGUUUCGACUGUAACAGAGAAGUUGUUGUAACGGAGAAGGAAGAAGAAGAAAACAGAGUGGAUCUAGCUGAUGAAACGGUUGAUAAACCUGCGCCGGCGACAAACCUGGAGUUCUACAUUGACGACGAGGACUGCCAUUUGAUUCCUGUCGAAGAAUUCUACAAACCUAGCGAGGAAGUCCGAGAGAUCUCCGACGUUAACGGUGACUUUAUCCUCGAUUUCGGCGCUGAACCUGAUUUCGCGGCGGCGGCGGAGGAAGGCGUGAUGUUACCUUCCGACGAGAUCUCCGCGCUUUCCUCGCCGGGAGAACCGAAACGCGAAGAGGCUGUAACGAAUCAAGGUGCUUUGUUAAUGUCUGUUUGUCCUGAUCAACAACAACAACCUGAACCUGACUUCGCGGCGGCGGAAGGGGAGGUGGAAGACGUGGGGUUAUCUUCCACGUUUCCCUCGCCGGAGGAAUCGGAACCGGAGAACGCUAAGACGACUCAAGGUGAUUUGUUAAUAUUCAUUUGUCCUGAUCAACAACAAUCCGAACCGGACUCCGCGGCGGCGACGACGGCGGAGGAAGACGUGGGAUUAUCAUCAGACGAGACAUCCGCGGCUCCCUUGCCGGGAGAAUUAAAACAGGACGAGGCUGAGACGAAACAAGAUUCUCCGACAGAUGAUGAGUCAUUGCAAACGCAGACCGACGACGAUGAAACAGACGCAGACGUUUCAAUAGGCACAGAGAUUCCUGAUCACGACCAAAUCGGAGGUGACCAAUCCCACCAACUCAUCAUUCCUCAAGACAACGACGAUGACAAUGAUCAUUGUAAUCAUACAUUGGAGUUCAGAACAGUUGAUAUUGAGACCAGAAGACCUGUCUUACACGCCAACAAAGAGCGGCUUCUCGAAACUUCAAACUGUCUACACAACGCUAUGUUUCAACUAGAUCGAACAGAACCAGAAGCCAACCUUGAAGGAUCACUCACCGUGGCCAAGCUGAAGUCGGAGUUGGAAGAAGAGAGAAAGGCUCUCAACGCUCUAUACGAGGAGCUGGAGGAAGAGAGGAGCGCGUCCGCCACCGCAGCCAACGAAACAAUGGCGAUGAUCAAUCGAUUACACGAGGAGAAAGCCGCGAUGCAGAUGGAGGCGCUGCAGUACCAGAGGAUGAUGGAGGAGCAAUCCGAGUUCGACCAAGAAGCCUUGCAGCUGUUGAACGAGGUCAUCGUGAAGCGAGAGAAGGAGAUUGCAGAGCUGGAGAAGGAGCUAGAGGUCUGUAGAAAGAGAUUGGAAGAGUAUGAGGCUAAAGAGAGGAUGGGGAUGAUGAUGAGGAGAAUGAGAGACUCCUCCGUUGAUUCGUAUAGAAACAAUGAGGGUUCAGAUGAGAACAACGGAGAGUUAGGGCAUAAGAGCGUUGAAGGAGAGAGUGAGAUGGAGAACACUCCCGUUGAUGUUGUGCUUCGUCUCGAUGAGUGUUUAGAUGAUUACGAAGGAGAGAGGCUUUCUAUUCUUGGGAGGUUGAAGUUUCUUGAAGAGAAACUCACAGCUCUUAAUGAUGAAGAGGACAAUGAAGAAGAAGCUAAAACGUUUGAGAGUAAUGGUAGCAUCAAUGGAAACGGGCAUGUUCAUGAUAAGGAGACCAAUGGGAAGCAUAGAGUCCUCAAGUCAAAGAGACUACUUCCUCUCUUUGAUGCAGUUGAUGGAGAGAUUGGGAACGGAGACCACUAUGAGAACGGUGUUGAUGAAUCGGAGAAAGGUGAGAUUGUUAACGUGGAGGGAGAAGUUGAUGAGCUAUACGAAAGACUAGAAGCUUUGGAGGCGGAUAGAGAGUUCUUGAGACAUUGUGUUGGCUCAUUGAAAAAAGGGGACAAGGGUGUUCAUCUCCUCCAUGAGAUUCUACAACAUCUACGUGAUCUCAAGAAUAUUGAUCUAAUUCGUGUAAGAGAAAAUGAAGACAUGAGUUUUUGAGUUUGGGUUUGGGUUUGAGUUUGAGUUUGAGUUCACUCUUUAUAUAUAUAUGCAUGUGGUGGCAUGAAGAGAACAAAUCAUACAGGUUAGGGAGUGACUUUGUUGCGUGGGAGGCAAGGAACAAGAAGAAGAGGUCUUAGAUGGAGAAGAAGAAAAUGGCACAAAAGUCUCGGAUAAAAUAUCAAUCUGAUUCUCUUAUGUUGUGUCAGAUGAGAAUGUCCGUCUUUUCAUUUGUUUUAAUUCUAUUUUUUGGUUUUUAUUAUAAAAAGUGAAGAUUUACUAUAUAAAAAGAGAGGAGUGUGAGCAUAAGUUUUCACUUUUUUAUUUGUCUUUAUGAGUGGUAAUAGAAAAAAAGUUAGAAUGAUGAGUGUAUGUGUGUGUAGUGUAGUGAGUAGUAAGGCGAGAUAUUGCUAUUACAAAAAGCCAAAGGGCAAGCUGUCAAAUUCUUGGAUGUUUGUGGCAGAGCUUGGAAUGAUUUCAACAAAGAUGCCAGCUCCAAUGUACAUAAUGGUUUUGUUUUAUUGGACUUUUCAGAACAUUUAGGAACUUUCCGGGUGAGUUUUGAAUCACUGUUUUAUAAGUGGGGUAAGUAACCUCUUCAUUUGUUUUCUUUUGGAUUGUAACUUGGUAGCACUUACUCAUGUAACUCGCUUUGCAAAGACGAGUCCUUUGUUCGUAUUACCUUUUGUAUUGUUUUUAUUUGUGUAUUUUCAAAACUGAUUAUGUUUAGACAAGUGGUUGUAAAUUGUAAUGCAAGUUGUUCUAGGAUCGA